rnacentral:rRNA from 1 species
AGUGAACGCUGGCGGCGUGCCUAAUACAUGCAAGUCGAACGGAGUGGCGCACGGGUGAGUAAUAUAUAGCUAAUCUGCCCCUUGCUGGAGGACAACAGUUCGAAAUGACUUCUAAUACUCCAUAGCAAGGGAUGAGACUAUAUCGUAUCAGCUAGUCGGUGGGGUAACGGCCUACCGAGGCUAUGACGCGUAACUGGUCUGAGAGGAUGAUCAGUAACAUUGGAAGUGAGACACGGUCCAAACUCCUACGGGAGGGAGCAGUAGGGAAUAUGGCGCAAUGGGGGAAACCCUGACGCAGCAACGCCGCGUGGAGGAUGACACUUUGCGGAGCGUAAACGCCUUUGGGUAGGGAAGCGGUACCUAACGAAUAAGCACCGGCUAACUCCGUGCCAGCCGCCGCGGUAAUUC